rnacentral:misc_RNA from 1 species
UUUCUUUUACGUUAAGUAUUGAUGAUAGCUAUCAGACUUGUGGGUAUUAUUACUCUUCUAAGUCGUAGUGACAGGUUUUAUAGCCUAUGACACAUACAGUGGUGAUAAGCUCCAUGUAAAACUAAGGUCAUCGGAUCUGCACGGCCUUGCGCGGUCGCCGACCAAAGAUGACACCACAAUCUGCGGUAUUUCGGAUUCCUCGCCUCUUAAUCGUCUAAAUUAUUAAUCAUGCUAAUAUUAAAAUAAUAUAUAACUUAUUUACAACGAAUAAAGUACAAUUUUAAAUGUGACAAUUU